rnacentral:rRNA from 1 species
ACGGGAGGCAGCAGUGGGGAAUAUUGCACAAUGGGGGAAACCCUGAUGCAGCGACGCCGCGUGAGUGAAGAAGUAUUUCGGUAUGUAAAGCUCUAUCAGCAGGGAAGAAAUAAGACACUUCGUGCCUCAGACGGUACCUGACUAAGAAGCCCCGGCUAACUACGUGCCAGCAGCCGCGGUAAUACGUAGGGGGCAAGCGUUAUCCGGAUUUACUGGGUGUAAAGGGAGCGUAGACGGCAGAGCAAGUCUGAUGUGAAAGCCCGGGGCCCAACCCCGGAACUGCAUUGGAAACUGUUUUGCUAGAGUGCAGGAGAGGUAAGCGGAAUUCCUAGUGUAGCGGUGAAAUGCGUAGAUAUUAGGAGGAACACCAGUGGCGAAGGCGGCUUACUAGACUGUAACUGACGUUGAGGCUCGAAAGCGUGGGGAGCAAACAGGAUUAGAUACCCUGGUA